rnacentral:lncRNA from 1 species
UAGGUCCAAUUAAAUGAGGCGGGGAAUCCCUCAAGGGACGGAGCAGCAGCUGAUUUGCUACCUGUGCUAUGACAAUGCAAACAUGCAUUGACGUUCUUCAAAAGAUAUGGUGCAUCAAACAUGCAUUGACAUGCAUCGAAUCAUAGAGAAUCUACAUGGUCCAUGAAAAUGCAUCAGGUGACGGGACGCGGACACCAGGAAGUAUCUAUGCAGAACUCUCUGGGAUUUUAUCUUACAUGUGCCCUUGCAUCAGAAAUAUCAGGUCAAUGGUGACCACGGUUCAGAUCCAGAAGACUGGUUGUCAGAAGGCGCCAUUCAUCUGUGGGCUGUUCUCUCUUACUCUCUUUUUGGGGGAUUUUGUGUAACAGUGUGGUGAUUCUGCCCAUCAAAGGCAGAAGGUCCAUCCCCCAUUCCUUUUCCUCCUUGGUUCCAGUCAAUUGAGGAGAGAGAGAGCUGUCUUAAGGGUUGCCUAAGCUGUAGCCUUCUGUUCCCUGUAGGACACCUACCUUCCAUAGCACCAGAGAGCAGCUCCAGUUCCCUGGGAGUGCUUCUAGCGGGGAGCAUAUGUGAUGUCUGGUGUGAUGUAAUCUUGGGAACUUCAGGAAAUAGGUGAGGUGAGGACAGUCACAAGGGAGAGGCAGCUGCUGAUUUGUUCUCUGCGCCACUAAGCCCUCUUCCCAAGGGUGUCUGUAGGAGUUUAAUUCUUAAGAGACUUUACUCAGGUACCACAAUCUGCUCCUACAAAACUUCCCCACCACUCUAUAUAUUUUGCUUCUGCUACUAAUAAUUAAUGAUUAAUAAUGUUGUUCUGCAAUAAUGUUUUAUUCCUCUUGGAGUGACCUUCCAGGCUUUCUUGUUUGUGUUUUGAGGUCAUAAUCCAAUGGAUUUCUGUCUGGGACACUGUUGCUCUUGAACACACCUUCUGCCUCCCACUAUGGGGUUUGAUUUCACACCUUGUGGAGGAGUGGGGAGGAUGUGACCAUAUGCUCAGGGGAUUGUGGAGGAAGGAAGGAGCCUGGGUCCUCCUUCUCUUUAGGAGUAAUACGCCAUUGGAAUGGAAAGAAUUAGGAAAAGAUUUACAAAAUAACACCAAAAAGAUGGGCAAAUUGACAACAGAAAUCAAAACACUAUCCAGGAAAACUAAUGGUAUGGAAAAACCAGUCCAAGCUUUAGAGGAGACAGUUAAGAGAAAGAAAGAAGAGAAUUGAGAAAUGAAAAGGGAUCAAGAUAGAAUGAAAACAGAGCUCGCCACAGUAAGAGAAACUCAGGAGGAUAUAAUCAAUAAUAUUCCACUUCUGGAAUUAAAACAAAAUGACACAACACUACGUUUGAGAGGCAUUCCAGAGCAUCGGAAUAAACAAAUUGGGGUUAAAAGGAACCAUGGAAAGAGAGGAUAGGAAGUCAAGGAAUGCUUUCUGAUUUUUUUGUUCAUUAUUUUAAUUCCGGGGAAGGAAAGAUUUUUCUUUGUUCUAUCAUUUUUAGCUCGUUUUUUCCUACUACACAGGGUAGGACACAAAUCAAUGGCAUCAAGUUUUUUAUUUUUAAAAAACAAGACUGACUAAACAUGUGGAAGAACUUUUUGACAGCAAAAGCUGUUAGUGGAUUGGACUCCCUUGGGAGUGCGGGAAUUUCCAUCCUUUGAGGUUUUCAAGUGAAGU